rnacentral:rRNA from 1 species
AACGAACGCUGGCGGCAGGCUUAACACAUGCAAGUCGAGCGCCCCGCAAGGGGAGCGGCAGACGGGUGAGUAACGCGUGGGAAUCUACCCAUCUCUACGGAAUAACGCAUGGAAACGUGUGCUAAUACCGUAUACGUCCUUCGGGAGAAAGAUUUAUCGGAGAUGGAUGAGCCCGCGUUGGAUUAGCUAGUUGGUGGGUAAAGGCCUACCAAGGCGACGAUCCAUAGCUGGUCUGAGAGGAUGGUCAGCCACACUGGGACUGAGACACGGCCCAGACUCCUACGGGAGGCAGCAGUGGGGAAUAUUGGACAAUGGGCGCAAGCCUGAUCCAGCCAUGCCGCGUGAGUGAUGAAGGCCCUAGGGUUGUAAAGCUCUUUCACCGGUGAAGGUAAUGACGGUAACCGGAGAAGAAGCCCCGGCUAACUUCGUGCCAGCCGCCGCGGUAAGAC